GCACCCGUAGCUCAGCUGGUUAGAGCACGCGCCUGAUAAGCGCGAGGUAAGUGGUUCGAAUCCACUCGGGUGCACCA
rnacentral:tRNA from 1 species